rnacentral:hammerhead_ribozyme from 1 species
GCACUGCUGGAGAGUGCCAAACAGGACGAAACAGCUGUCCAGUGC